rnacentral:rRNA from 1 species
UGAGUACGAGAUGCUACGGCAUCGAAGCAGUCUAUGUCAUACUUCCAAGAAAAGCUUGCACUGUCAGAAACAGAUAAUGCCUGUACCAUAACCGACACAGGUGGGUAGGUAGAGUAUACUAAGGGGCGCGAGAUAACUCUCUCUAAGGAACUCGGCAAAAUGACUCCGUAACUUCGGGAGAAGGAGUGCCUUAUUUUUAAGGUUGCAAUAACAAGAUCCAAGCAACUGUUUACCAAAAACACAGGUCUCCGCUAAGUCGUAAGACGAUGUAUGGGGGCUGACGCCUGCCCAGUGCCAGAAGGUUAAAGAAGUCGGUUAGCAUUCGCGAAGCUGGUAACUGAAGCCCUGGUGAACGGCGGCCGUAACGAUAACGGUCCUAAGGUAGCGAAAUUCCUUGUCGGGUAAGUUCCGACCCGCACGAAAGGCGUAAUGAUUUGGAUACUGUCUCGGAGAGGGGCUCGGUGAAAUAGACUUGUCUGUGAAGAUGCGGACUACCUGCACCUGGACAGAAAGACCCUAUGAAGCUUUACUGUAACUUGAAAUUGAAAUUGGACUUUAUUUGCGCAGUAUAGGUGGGAGGCGUUGAAAAUAUUCUUGCGGGAAUAUUGGAGCCAUCAGUGAGAUACCACUCUUGUAAUGUUAGAUUUCUAACUUUAUAUCAUUAUCUGGUUAAAGAACAGUUUCAGGCGGGCAGUUUGACUGGGGCGGUCGCCUCCCAAAUGGUAACGGAGGCGCACAAAGGUUUCCUCUGAACGGGUAGAAAUCGUAUCUAGAGUGUAAAGGCAUAAGGAAGCUUGACUGUGAGACCUACAAGUCGAGCAGGGACGAAAGUCGGUCUUAGUGAUCUGACGGUGCUGAGUGGAAAGGCCGUCACUCAACGGAUAAAAGUUACUCUAAGGAUAACAGGCUGAUCUCCCCCAAGAGUUCACAUCGACGGGGAGGUUUGGCACCUCGAUGUCGGCUCAUCGCAUCCUGGGGCGGUAGUACGUCCCAAGGGUUGGGCUGUUCGCCCAUGAAAGCGGUACGCGAGCUGGGUUCAGAACGUCGUGAGACAGUUCGGUCCAUAUCCGGUGUAGGCGUUAGAAUAUUGAGAGGAGCCUUCUUUAGUACGAGAGGACCGAGAAGGACAUACCUCUGGUGUACCAGUUAUCGUGCCAACGGUAAACGCUGGGUAGCUAUGUAUGGAGUGGAUAACCGCUGAAAGCAUCUAAGUGGGAAGCCCACCUCAAGAUAAGUAUCCUCA